UCCUGAUUUGAGUAUCCUAAGGUUCCAGAAAGCAGAAACACAGCAGCUUCAAUCAGAGCAGAAAAAAAGAUGAUGGGGGAGAGAAUCAGAUGCUGUUGCCGCCCCUUCCUUCUGACUUCUAUCCAAGAUACUUCUGUUCCUCAGAUGUUCAAGUUACUGCACUGCUACUCAUUCGUUCAUGGUUAAUGCUUCAUCAAAAGGCAGAAUCAGCAUACACAGAAUCAGCAUACAGAAGACCAAACAUUGUCUGAAGUUAUAAAUUGCUACAAAUGAACACGGAUACAUCAGCA